rnacentral:rRNA from 1 species
AGAGUUUGAUCCUGGCUCAGAACGAACGCUGGCGGCGCGCUUAACACAUGCAAGUCGAACGGGCCCGCAAGGGUCAGUGGCGAACGGGUGCGUAACACGUGGGUGAUCUGCCCAGGAGACCGGGACAACUCGCCGAAAGGCGAGCUAAUACCGGAUAAGCUCACGAGACUGCGAGGUCUUGAGAGAAAAGGGAGCAAUCCGCUUUCUGGAUGAGCCCGCGGCCCAUCAGCUAGUUGGCGGGGUAAUGGCCCACCAAGGCUACGACGGGUAGCUGGUCUGAGAGGACGACCAGCCACACUGGAACUGAGACACGGUCCAGACUCCUACGGGAGGCAGCAGUGGGGAAUCUUGCGCAAUGGGCGAAAGCCUGACGCAGCGACGCCGCGUGUGCGAUGAAGGUCUUCGGAUCGUAAAGCACUGUCGCGAGGGAAAAAGAAAAUGAUGGUACCUCGAGAGGAAGCACCGGCUAACUCUGUGCCAGCAGCCGCGGUAAUACAGAGGGUGCGAGCGUUGUUCGGAAUUAUUGGGCGUAAAGCGCUGGUAGGUGGCUUGUUAAGUCGCGUGUGAAAGCUUCCGGCUCAACCGGAAAAGUGCGCGCGAAACUGGCGAGCUUGAGUGCCGGAGAGGGUCGUGGAAUUCCCGGUGUAGAGGUGAAAUUCGUAGAUAUCGGGAGGAACACCAGAGGCGAAGGCGACGACCUGGAAGGUAACUGACACUGAGCAGCGAAAGCGUGGGUAGCAAACAGGAUUAGAUACCCUAGUAGUCC